ACAACUCUGCAUAAUAGUGGGACCUUGAAUACUACUACCAGUUCUAUCUACCCUGCCUUGUCCUACACUAUGCCAGAGCAGUCAACUCUUCCUAGUUUUAAAUCAUAGGGUUUUGCAGGUCAAGGUUAAUGUUGGAGACAAAGUAGUUAUUUAGUCUCCUUUAUUUAAAUAUACCACAAAUAGUUUAUUAGUUUUAAAACUUUAGUUUUUUUUUUUGAUAAUAUAUGAUUAUUGUAGGAAACUAGAAUAUUGUAAAAAAGUUUAAAAAUCACUCAAACUU
rnacentral:lncRNA from 1 species